rnacentral:rRNA from 1 species
ACUCCUACGGGAGGCAGCAGUGGGGAAUAUUGCACAAUGGGCGCAAGCCUGAUGCAGCCAUGCCGCGUGUGUGAAGAAGGCCUUCGGGUUGUAAAGCACUUUCAGUUGUGAGGAAGGUGGUGUCGUUAAUAGCGGCAUCAUUUGACGUUAGCAACAGAAGAAGCACCGGCUAACUCCGUGCCAGCAGCCGCGGUAAUACGGAGGGGUGCGAGCGUUAAUCGGAAUUACUGGGCGUAAAGCGCAUGCAGGUGGUUUGUUAAGUCAGAUGUGAAAGCCCGGGGCUCAACCUCGGAACUGCAUUUGAAACUGGCAGACUAGAGUACUGUAGGAGGGGGUAGAAGUUUCAGGUGUAGCGGUGAAAUGCGUAGAGAUCUGAAGGAAUACCGGUGGCGAAGGCGGCCCCCGUGGACAAAGACUGACGCUCAGAU